rnacentral:rRNA from 1 species
GACGAACGCUUCCCUCUUUCUUAACACAUGCAAGUCGAACGAUGAAGCCUAGCUUGCUAGGUGGCUUAGUGGCGAACGGGUGAGUAAUACGUGAGUAACCUACCUUUAACUCUGGGAUAAGCCCGGGAAACUGGGUCUAAUACCGGAUACGACCAAUCUCCGCAUGGGGUGUUGGUGGAAAGCGUUAUGUAGUGGUUAUAGAUGGGCUCACGGCCUAUCAGCUUGUUGGUGAGGUAACGGCUCACCAAGGCGACGACGGAGAGCCGGCCUGAGAGGGUGACCGGCCACACUGGGACUGAGAGACGGCCCAGACUCCGACGGGAGGCAGCAGUGGGGAAUAUUGCACAAUGGGCGCAAGCCUGAUGCAGCGACGCCGCGUGAGGGAUGACGGCCUUCGGGUUGUAAACCUCUGUUAGCAGGGAAGAAGAGAGAUUGACGGUACCUGCAGAGAAAGCGCCGGCUAACUACGUG